GCCCCCAACCAACAAAAACCCGAGCCCUUAAGCUUUCGGCGUCGCCGUCAACCCUCGCCGAGACCCCGAUGUCAUUUUUCCUACUACCGGCGGCCAAGGUCCGGUCUUUCUUCACCCCGUGUGUGUGUUUGCGGCGGAGGCGGUGAUCCCGAUGGGCGCCGCGCUGCCUGGGAGAGGAGCGGGAGCAGGGGGGUUGCGGCGAGCGGUACCCGUCGUGGUGCGUGAGCCGGGAGGAGAUCGAUCGAGCGCGGCCAAGGAGGCCGAGCUCCGGGCCACCUACUGCUCCUUCAUCCGCGACGUCUGCAUCAGGCUCCAAUUGUCCUCUUUCUCCUCCGCCAGUCUCACGCCAAGAACGAGUGGCAGACAUUGAUGAUGGUAAUAGUAAUAAGCAGCUGCGGGGGCGCUGCUGCUCGUGCGGUGAAGAAGACCCGCCGCAGACGACCAAUGCCAAUGCCACCGCACAAUCGUUAAG